UACGAAGGGGGCUAGCGUUGCUCGGAAUUACUGGGCGUAAAGGGCGCGUAGGCGGACAGUUUAGUCAGAGGUGAAAGCCCAGGGCUCAACCUUGGAAUUGCCUUUGAUACUGGCUGUCUUGAGUUCGGGAGAGGUGAGUGGAACUGCGAGUGUAGAGGUGAAAUUCGUAGAUAUUCGCAAGAACACCAGUGGCGAAGGCGGCUCACUGGCCCGGUACUGACGCUGAGGCACGAAAGCGUGGGGAGCAAACAGG
rnacentral:rRNA from 1 species